UGACACUGCAGGAAGGAACUUUGAAGCUAUCUGCAGAGACUUUGAAGACCUGGGCAGGAAAGUGAAGGAACUGGGAGCGCAAGUUGUCUUCUCUUCUAUCCUACCAGUGAAUGGCCGUGGAACAGGAAGAUGGAGAAGGAUUCUACAGGUAAACAACUGGCUACGUCGAUGGUGCUACCAGCAAGGAUUUGGAUUUCUAGACCAUGGACUAAACUACUUAUAUGAUGGACUCCUUGCAAGAGAUGGGCUCCAUCUUACAAAGACAGGAAAGCACAUAUUUGGCAGGAGACUGGCUGCACUCAUCAGGAGAGCUUUAAACUAGGGCGAAAGGGGAAGGGAAGUAAAAGUCCAGAGAAAGAUAAACAGCUAAUAAAUACAGAUAAGGAACUUGCUACCAGAAAUGAAAGGAAAGAACAAAGUCAAACAAUUUGGAAGGAAACUAAAGGAGUCAAGCUUGAAAGAGACAUUUGUCGCAAACUAAAAUGUUUCUAUACCAAUGCGCAAAGCAUGGGAAACAAACAAGGAGAACUGGAAAUCCUAGCACAGGAAAAUAAAUAUGAUAUCAUAGGCAUAACUGAAACUUGGUGGGAUAAUACGCAUGAUUGGAACACAGAGCUCGAAGGAUACAACUUAUUUAAAAAAAACAGGCUUAAUAAAAGGGGAGGAGGUGUUGCAUUGUAUGUAAGGAAAAUAUAUACCACCACAGAGAUUAAUCUUUCAGAUAAUGGAAGCCCUGUAGAAACCGUUUGGGUGAAAAUACAAGGAGAGAGCAACACAAAGGAUACUGUUGUAGGAGUUUAUUAUAGACCCCCUGGACAAACAGAAUAUAUGGAUGAACUAUUUAUAUAUCAGAUGGCCAAGCUCUCGGGGAAACACGACCUAGUCAUUAUGGGAGAUUUUAACUAUCCGGACAUUUGUUGGGAAUCUCUCUCUGGCAAAAGUCAUGGGUCCAAUAAAUUCUUAUCCUCUCUGGCAGAUAACUUCAUUUUCCAAAGGAUGGAGGAAAAAACAAGGGGGUGUGCUAUCUUGGACCUAAUCCUUACCAACAGGGAGGAAAUGGUUGAGGAAGUAAGGGUGACUGGGACCCUGGGUGGCAGUGACCAUGCUAUCAUUGAGUUUUGGAUAACAAAAGGAGGAAGAUCUGACAGGACUCGGACUUCAAGGUUAGAUUUCAGAGGAGCAGAUUUUGAUGGACUCAGAAGGAGGGUAGGAAGGAUCCAUUGGCUGGAUGUCUUAAAGGACAGAAAUGUCCAGGAAGGAUGGGAAAUUUUGAGAAAGGAGAUUCUAGAGGCACAAUCUUUAACAAUUCCUAAAAGAAAAAAAAAUGGCAAGCAUCUAAAGAGACCAGGGUGGAUGAACCCUGAACUUAAUAACUUGCUAAAAAGAAAAAAAGAAAUGUUUAAAAAAUGGAAAGAGGGGGACAUAUCAAAAGAAGAAUAUAAUGCAAUCUGCAGGAACUGCAGGAUAAGUGUCAGAAAGGCUAAAGCUAAAAAUGAAUUGAGGAUUGCAAGAGAGGCCAAAAACAAUAAAAAAGGCUUUUGGGGGUAUGUCAGAAGCAAAAGAAAAGUCAAAGAAGCUAUAGGACCUUUACAAAAUGGGAAGGGUGAUUUGGUCAAAAACGAUAUUCAGAAGGCAGAACUUCUGAACUCCUAUUUUGCAUCUGUUUUCUCUCAGAAAGGAAAGGAAACAUCAGUUGGCCUUCACUGUGCUGUUGAGGGAAUAAGAGAAUCAAGGCUCUGUAUGGACAAGGAGAAGGUGAGGGAACAGUUAGCAAACUUAAAUGUAUUCAAGUCUCCAGGCCCAGAUGAAUUACAUCCUAGGGUGCUGAAGGAAUUAGCUGAUAUAAUUGCUGAACCACUCUCCGUGAUAUUUGAGAACUCAUGGAUAACAGGAGAAGUCCCAGAAGAUUGGAGAAGGGCAAAUGUUGUACCUAUCUUUAAAAAAGGAAAGAAGGCUGACCCAGGCAACUACAGGCCUGUGAGCCUGACUUCAAUACCAGGCAAGAUAUUUGAACAAAUCAUUAAACAGCACAUAUGGGAGCACUUGGAUGGGAAUGCAGUAAUUAACCAAAGCCAACAUGGAUUUGUAACAAACAAGUCAUGCCAGACUAAUCUUAUUUCCUUUUAUGACAAAAUUACUGGAUGGAUCGAUCAAGGAAAGGCUGUGGACAUAGUAUAUCUUGACUUUAGCAAAGCAUUUGACAAGGUGUCUCAUACUAUACUGAUUGAAAAAAUGAUCAAAUAUGGGAUUGACAGGACAACUGUUAGGUGGAUUCAUAACUGGCUUAGUG
ensembl:lncRNA